ACCUUUACCCUGGAAGUGACAGACUACAAAUGAUGUAAGAGGCAGCCAAGCCCAAUGUGAGUAAGAGAACAUCUGACUUCCCUUGACAAAUCCAAGUCACCUUAGGUCCAAAAUGAACUGGCAGAUGUGAUUGUCGAGCCGCCAUCAGGGACAUCAGAAAGUUCAUGGAAGAUGGGAGGGAUAAGUGACACAAAACUGGAGAAUGGUAAAUGUGGUCCCUGUUUUCAAAAAAGUGAAGAGAAUAGAAUCUACAAACUCCAAGCUGGGACAGAUUAAUGUGGAGUUUCUGACUUGUGAGUUCGAAAAGGUUUGGAGAGUGAGCCUCCAGGACUCUGGGAGUCCAAGUAUAUGCCAAGUUUUGCAGCCAACUCAGUAGUUAUACCUUGGGGAAGAAUGAGUGACCUUCUGGAGUGACUUUUCGACCCCAGUCUAGCAGUAUCUGAAUUAGGAUUCACAUCUACUACCAGUUAUGUCAUAUUUGGAAAUGAACUUGGUGGAUCCAAUAUAGUAUAGAAACUGUCUAAGAGUAAAUCUCCUCUCUCCAGAGACUGAGGUAGGAUAGAUGAGUAUGUUUCCAAGGGGUUGGAUGAAAUCUUUGUACUUUUGUUCUUCCUAUAUUUUUGAAAUAAAUACCUAUUUGUAAAAGUUAA